rnacentral:tRNA from 1 species
UUAGCUCAGUUGGUUAGAGCGCCUGACUGUUAAUCAGGAUGUCGAAGGUUCAAGUCCUUUA